rnacentral:rRNA from 1 species
UACGUAGGGUGCGAGCGUUAAUCGGAAUUACUGGGCGUAAAGUGUGCGCAGGCGGCCGCGCAAGUCGAGUGUGAAAGCCCCGGGCUCAACUCGGGAGGGUCGUGGCAAACCGGCGGACUUGAGGCCGGUAGAGGUGGGUGGAACUCCUGGUGGAGUGGUGAAAUGCGUAGAGAUCAGGAAGAACACCCGUGGCGAAGGCGGCCCACUGGGCCGGAACUGACGCUGAGGCGCGAAGGCGUGGGGAGCGAACGGG